rnacentral:rRNA from 1 species
AGAGUUUGAUCAUGGCUCAGAACGAACGCUGGCGGCAGGCUUAACACAUGCAAGUCGAGCGCCCCGCAAGGGGAGCGGCAGACGGGUGAGUAACGCGUGGGAAUCUACCUAUCACUACGGAACAGCUCCGGGAAACUGGAGCUAAUACCGUAUACGUCCGAGAGGAGAAAGAUUUAUCGGUGAUAGAUGAGCCCGCGUUGGAUUAGCUAGUUGGUGGGGUAAUGGCCUACCAAGGCGACGAUCCAUAGCUGGUCUGAGAGGAUGAUCAGCCACACUGGGACUGAGACACGGCCCAGACUCCUACGGGAGGCAGCAGUGGGGAAUAUUGGACAAUGGGCGAAAGCCUGAUCCAGCCAUGCCGCGUGAGUGAUGAAGGCCUUAGGGUUGUAAAGCUCUUUCACCGGUGAAGAUAAUGACGGUAACCGGAGAAGAAGCCCCGGCUAACUUCGUG